CUUCUAGUUGAUAUUAUUCUUAUAGAGAGAAUAAUUGUUUGAACGGAAUCCAUUUUUAAAAUCCAAAUGCCUUCUUCUCACUCUUAGUAAACCCAGAUCGGUCUUCCCUGAUACUGUCGAGGAGAUAAAUUUUAAAGGAAGCAGAGACAAACUAUGGCCAGAGGAGUAGUAUUCAAAGAGAUAGCUAUGCUGGUAAGAUUCAGCAUAGAAAGAUAGAAAGGAAUCCUGUAGCAUCUUUGAGACGGAGAAGAAUUUCUAGCUUCAGUUUCUGUGGACUCCAGUUCACCAUCAGAUGCCACAAGAGCUUGGGCUAGAAAAGUAUUUUUCUCAGGCUGCAUCCGCACUACAGAAGUUUUUUUUCCAUUUCUGUUCCUGAAUGGUCCUGAUUUUACUGGAAGCAAGAAGCUAUUGUUAAUUCAGAAGAAACAAACAGUAAAAUAGAGACCAACUAUGAGCUACAAGGGCAGAUACUUCUUAGAGACCUAUGAAUCUCAGGGAUACCAUCAUAACAUUCUGAAAGAUUCCAUCCGUUUCCAAACUAUGGACACAGAAGAUAGCUAUGGAUUAACAUUCCCCACCAGGAGAGAAGCUAUAUCCAAAGAUGGAGAUGGUAGAUGUCAGACACCACUCACCUGCCUCUCUGGCGCCUUUCUCACCUAACAUGGCGA